UCAGAUAUCCGCGGAUGAGGAAUAGGCGGCCACUCCGUCUGACCAUUGGGUCUCCGCCAUUCGGUUAGGGGCUGAUAGGGAUUGGGUAGGAAUUCAAAAGACGUCUGAUUUUGGCGAUGAGAAGUUCAGCCUGAUGGUGUGAUUUUCGUCUUUUGAUUACUCAGGGCAAGGGUUGUCUUUCAAUCAUGAAACCCCUAGGUAUUUUUGUAAACAAAUCAGGAUAAAAAAGAAAAACCGAAAAAAAAAACUGAUUCAUCAUCCUUUUUCUCCGUCAACCGCAGCACUCGCACACGCUAGUUUCCCACGCAGUCAUUAACUGCACAUCGGCAGUUUGUUUGUAGUUGUGUAGAAAUCAAGGAGAAGAGAACCAGGGCGAGGCCGAGGGAGAAACAGAGACAUAGAUCAACAAAGAGUUUUCCUCGGUACAACUUCUCAAUUUCAAUCUUAAUCUUUUAUUCUCAAUUCUCAAUCUCAAAAGUACGGCUGUGUGAAAAAUGGAGGGGAAUUAAAUGGCACCAUGCGCAAAACGUAUGGAUGGACAAAAUAAAUUCAUCUUGACGAUCAAAAACGCAUAGUCGAGGUUUUUAUUGUCUUCCUUUUUCAUAAUUUCAAAUGAACUUGAUCUCACGAAUAUUGGGUAUUGUAUUUUUUAAGUGUAAUGCAUGAUGUUGUUGCAGAAGUAUGCAUAACGUAAAUUGUGAAUUUGGCAGGCCAAAGGGUUUGGCAACUAAGAAAAAGCUUCAACAACCAUUUGAGUUCAUGAUUGGUCUGCAACAUUUUCAAUUAUAUUAUGCUGUAAGCUUUCCAUAAAGUGUCAAGAUGAAAAAAAUGGCCAAGAGGCGUUGCAUUCAAUUUAAAAGCUUUCUCUACAUGACAGCAGUAUGUAAUUCCCAUUACUUAUAGUAACUACGCGUUUCUGGCUGAAAGCUUGCAAGUGUCUCUAAAAUUGAUUUAGUUGGUUUUUUUUGGACUACAAUGCAAGACAUCUCGUGACCCUUUUUAUAUAUGAAGAAGUUCGUUUCUCAAGACUCGUUUCUCACCUUUUGAUUUGAUAGCUGGUGGGGUGUUAGAUAGGAUAAAUAUCAAAGCAAUGUGGAAGGAGAUGACAGAUUAAUGCAAAAUUUGUUUGUAUCUCUUUAAUAUAAUAAGAGGUGUGCCCUUAUUAUGAAAAUAUGUGCAAUUGUUGUUGAAUUUAAUCAUAAUACAGUUAGUUUAAUAAA
rnacentral:lncRNA from 1 species